AUUACACAGUCUGCAAAGGCUGUGUUUGGAUGGAGUGACAGUCAGAUAGGACAGUUUGCCAAUAUGGGAAACAUUGCAUACCUUGUCACAGUAUUUCCUGUUUGUUACUUGAUGGGAAAACUGGGGUUACGUUUUUCAAUCCUUGGCUGUACUCUUUUGAUAUUCAUUGGAACAGGAUUGAGAUGUAUAACGUAUGAAAAAGAAGCAGCAACAUGGUUAUCCUAUGUGUGUUCAGUAUUGAAUGGAAUAGGAGGAAUAGUGCCCUUUGCAGGACCAUCAUUAGUGGCCAACACUUGGUUUCCACUCAGUGAGCGUGCAACAGCCACUGCAGUGUCAUCAACUUUCAUGUACAUGGGCGUUGGACUUUCCUUUAUCAUUGGAUCUGAAUGGGUUCCAUCCCCUUUGGAGGUAAACUCUACGGGUGAUGUUGGCUUCACUGCAGAUAUUGAAUCCAUAAGUAGGCUAUCAUCUUCGAAUUCAGAUACAGCCAUGUAUACAUCAAAUCAUUCAGGUACGAAAACAUUCAAUGCUUUUCAUGUCUUUCUUUCUUAAAAAUGAAAGCAGGCUACAAUUUUUCAUACCAAAUAUUUUCUGUUAUCGUUGUCAUCUGUAAUGUUUCAUAUUCAAUUUUAAUAAAAUAAACAUCAAGCGUCGUGUAUUUUUUUGUUAACUUGAUAAUAAUAUACUAUUACAAAUAGUACAACAGAAAAGCAACCCGUCAAAUUUGAAAUUCAAUUAUAAGAUAAAUACUUACUUUAGGCAUCUCCUUUUGAGCAGAAAUCAGAAAAUAAAGAUAUCAAAAUCGCAAUAAAAGAAUUAAAAGUAUUUUUUUAAAGUGCCUCUAACUCUAGAUACUAGUAAUAAAGGUUGCGACGAUCGCCCUACGACAAUAUAGUUACUAGUAUUACGAAUACAGAAAACUUAUUUCAUAAGAAUAUGUGACAACUGACACAGAAAGCUUAAAGUGUAUACAUGAAUAUCUUCUUAAAUCUGUUCUUUACUUCGUCAGUACAUUAUAUCAAAUACUUGCCUGUAGAUUACUUCUUUAAAUGCUGAUAAAACAUCGACACUAAUGGUAAAUAAUCAAAAUUUGUGAAUCUCAAAUUAUUAAAUGAUGAUGUGGUAUUUCUAGUUAAAGUAAUCAACAUGGAUUCAAUGCGAACAGAUAUUAUGAAUUUGCUGUAUUCUGGUAUGUAUUGUGAAAAAAAUAUUUUUACUUUAAUAUGUACUUGAAUGUUGAAAAAUUAAGUAUAUAUUUGAAAAUUUUCUGUCAACAUUGUUUUUCUCACUAAUAUUUUAAAGCAUUAUUAACAGAAUAAAAGCAGCUAUCAAUUUUAAAUGUCACAUUCAACAAAAGGCUUUGGAUUGCUUCGGUUUAUUUUUGGUAGAGUGCGGCCUCGCUGGUUUGAUCUUUUUACUCUGUCUUUUGUAUCUUCCCGCCAAACCUCCAACACCACCAAGUACGUCUGCUUCUGUGCAGAGAACCAACUACAAGGAAUCUCUUGGAAGUGUGGCUAGGAACAAAUCUCUCAUAUUGUUGGGUUUGGCCAAUGCAAUACCUAAAGGAGUAUUUGGAAGCUGGCAGGCUGUAUUAGAUGUGUUAUUAGACCCAGUCGGUAUGAAUCAAAGUGAAGCCGGAUGGUUAGGAUUCUACAUGACAGCAGCUGGAGGCGUGUCUGGACUUCUUAUUGGGAGAUUUUCAGAUAUAUUUUUGAGACGCACUAAAUUCUUUUUAAUCCUGAUGAAUGGCGGAGCAGUCCUAGGCUAUGUGUGGUUUUCUCUCAUGAGCUCUGCAAUCAUACCUAUCUCUAAAGUUGAAAUCUACAUAUCAGCAAUCAUCGGAGGAAUGUUUAUCAACGGCUCUUUUCCGUUGGUUUACGAGAUGGGAUCUGAGUUGGCAUUCCCCGUGUCGGAGGCAGUAGUUGGGGGACUCUUGACAUGUUUCAUGGAGAUUUUCGGAAUUUUUUUCCUACUGGUUCUUAUGAUCCCAAACAUAGGAACUAGCUGGAUGAACUGGUCCUUAUCAGGAAGUCUACUUCUAGGAUUUGUUCUACUCUUCUUGUUUCCAGCACGCUAUAGACGAACUGACAUAGAUAAUGUCGUCGUCCAUGUUAAUGCCGAAGACAAAUAUGACGACUCUGUUAACAGAAACACAAUAACGGGACACCCAGCAAGAUACGAUGAAUGAAUAUUGUCUAAAAUGUGUCUUAAUAAGGUCGAUCGGUUGAUAUAAAUAGAUUUAAUCUGCAAAUUUGUAUGUAUUUAGAAAUUUAUUGGUUAUAAACCUUCAACCUAAGUUGAAAAAUAAUAAAGAAUGCUGUAGUUGAAU
rnacentral:misc_RNA from 1 species